CCUCAUGCUCCUGGAGCGGCCGAUAUCUGAUUAGCUAGUUGGUGAGGUAAAGGCUCACCAAGGCGACGAUCAGUAGCUGGUCUGAGAGGACGACCAGCCACACUGGAACUGACACGGUCCAGCUCCUACGGGAGGCAGCAGUGGGGAAUUUUGGACAAUGGGCGCAAGCCUGAUCCAGCAAUGCCGCGUGAGUGAAGAAGGCCUUCGGGUUGUAAAGCUCUUUUGUCAGGGAAGAAACGGGUGCGGCUAAUAUCUGCAUCUAAUGACGGUACCUGAAGAAUAAGCACCGGCUAACUACGUGCCAGCAGCCGCGGUAAUACGUAGGGUGCAAGCGUUAAUCGGAAUUACUGGGCGUAAAGCGUGCGCAGGCGGUUUUGUAAGUCUGUUGUGAAAUCCCCGGGCUCAACCUGGGAAUGGCAAUGGAGACUGCAAGGCUAGAGUUUGGCAGAGGGGGGUAGAAUUCCACGUGUAGCAGUGAAAUGCGUAGAGAUGUGGAGGAACACCGAUGGCGAAGGCAGCCCCCUGGGUCAAGACUGACGCUCAUGCACGAAAGCGUGGGGAGCAAACAGGAUUAGAUACCCUGGUAGUCCACGCCCUAAACGAUGUCUACUAGUUGUUGGGUCUUAAUUGACUUAGUAACGCAGCUAACGUGAAGUAGACCGCCUGGGAGACG
rnacentral:rRNA from 1 species